GACGAACGCUGGCGGCGUGCUUAACACAUGCAAGUCGAACGGAAAGGCCCUUCGGGGUACUCGAGUGGCGAACGGGUGAGUAACACGUGGGUGAUCUGCCCUGCACUUUGGGAUAAGCCUGGGAAACUGGGUCUAAUACCGAAUAGGACCACACUCUUCAUGGUGUGUGGUGGAAAGCUUUUGCGGUGUGGGAUGGGGCCGCGGCCUAUCAGCUUGUUGGUGGGGUAAUGGCCUACCAAGGCGACGACGGGUAGCCGGCCUGAGAGGGUGUCCGGCCACACUGGGACUGAGUUACGGCCCAGACUCCUACGGGAGGCAGCAGUGGGGAAUAUUGCACAAUGGGCGCAAGCCUGAUGCAGCGACGCCGCGUGGGGGAUGACGGCCUUCGGGUUGUAAACCUCUUUCAGUAUCGGCGAAGCUCCAAGGUUUUCUUUGGGGUGACGGUAGGUACAGAAGAAGCACCGGCCAACUACGUGCCAGCCGCCGCAGUAA
rnacentral:rRNA from 1 species